rnacentral:lncRNA from 1 species
UGGAAUUUCCCUUAAAAGAUAUAUGCCCUGGUUUUGGAGACUCUGUCUUUUCUCACGAGCACCCCGAAGCUCACUGUUCAUUUUCAAAAACUUAACACAGUUGAUAGUGUAUAGAAAAUCAGGGAGCUUGAGUUAUAACUUGAGCAUGUGUUAGGGAUGGGGCCGAUCCGAUCCAGUAUCGGUAUCGGGACCGAUACCAGCGUAAUUCACGUAUCGGAAUUUCCCGAUCCAACCUGCGCAGAUUUCUGAUAUCCAUGAGCCAUGUCUGCACUUUAACUUUGUCUGCUGAAAUGACUGCACAGGUGAUUCCUGCCGGCCAGUCUGCUAGCUGGCUGCAAACUGUGGAAUGGAUUUCCUGAACGGAGGCGCGGCUCAAUGAGACACAGAGUUAUGAGACACGCCCCCGCUCAGGAAAUCCAUUCCACAGUUUGCAGCCAGCUAGCAGGAUAGCAUUGAGCAGCAUUGUGGCUAGCCAACAUGUCCGUAAUUCAGAGACGCGGAAGCUCCCUCGCGUCGUACAACACUACAGAAGCAAUCAAACAUUUAAAAAAGCACCACACGAAACAGCACAAGGAUUUUUUAGGCGAGCUGUCAGGAAUCACUUCUGGAGUCAUUCCAAAAACAAAGUAAACUCCAGGUUGGUUGGCUGAAGGAUCUGAUUCACUCAGUGGAGAAGGAAUACCUCCACAAGAAAGCUCAGAGGAAUCGCUACAGACAGAUGAGCAGAGACAAGGCCAAAUUAAGGAAAAGAUCCAGGAUCUCCAGAGAAUUAUUUCCAACCCCUGCAACUGAGCACAAAGUAACUAAGAGUAUCACACCUUCAGCUGAAAACUGGUUCCUGUGUCCCGGUACCAGGACACCUGGUGUGGCCAAUGAAAGGAAAGUUGUUCCCAGCUAAGUCAUUUAUAAUGUGUUUGACACUGUGACAAUGAGAGAAGCUCACCAGAAUUGUCUUAACAGUUUAAAUUGUAUUGAAGCACAUGAGAAUUGUGUUUCAGAUUUGUAAAAUGUGUGUUACCGUAAAUAAAUACCUAUAAAUAUUUUUUGUGUGUCUUGAUUAAUGAUAAAACCAUAUUGUAGUGACAAAGGCAGGGUGCAGGUAGAUCAUAUCCCAGCUGAUGACAUUUUGCACUCCCAAGCAUUGGCUGAAUGCAAUCAUUGACAGUAUAUAAUGUAUGUAUGUAGACGAAGCUUCCGAGUCUGAG